UUGGGAAUCUUGCACAAUGGGGGAAACCCUGAUGCAGCGACGCCGCGUGGAGGAUGAAGGAUCUAGGUCUGUAAACUCCUUUUUCAGGGAAAGACUUAGGACGGUACCCUGAGAAUAAGGACCGGCUAACUACGUGCCAGCAGCCGCGGUAAGACGUAGGGUCCAAGCGUUGUCCGGAUUUACUGGGCGUAAAGAGCGCGUAGGCGGUCUAGUAAGUGUGAAGUGAAAUCUCCAGGGCUCAACCCGGAAACUGCUUUACAUACUGCAAGACUGGAGUGAUGAAGAGGUUUGUGGAAUUCCUGGUGUAACGGUGAAAUGUGUUGAUAUCAGGAGGAACACCCAUGGCGAAGGCAGCAAACUGGUCAUCAACUGACGCUGAGGCGCGAAAGCGUGGGUAGCAAACAG
rnacentral:rRNA from 1 species